UACAGAGGGUGCGAGCGUUGUUCGGAAUUAUUGGGCGUAAAGGGCGCGUAGGCGGCGCCACAAGUCACCUGUGAAAACUCUGGGCUCAACCCAGAGCCUGCAGGCGAAACUGUGGUGCUGGAGUAUGGGAGAGGUGCGUGGAAUUCCCGGUGUAGCGGUGAAAUGCGUAGAUAUCUGGAGGAACACCGGUGGCGAAGGCGGCAUCCUGGACCGGCAUUGACGCUGAGGCGCGAAAGCCAGGGGAGCAAACGGG
rnacentral:rRNA from 1 species